AUUGAACGCUGGCGGCAUGCUUUACACAUGCAAGUCGAACGGGGGUAGCAAUACCCUAGUGGCGAACGGGUGAGUAAUGCAUCGGAACGUGUCCCGUAGUGGGGGAUAGCCCGGCGAAAGCCGGAUUAAUACCGCAUAUGCUCUACGGAGGAAAGCAGGGGAUCGCAAGACCUUGCGCUAUGGGAGCGGCCGAUGUCCGAUUAGCUAGUUGGUGAGGUAAAGGCUUACCAAGGCGACGAUCGGUAGCUGGUCUGAGAGGAUGAUCAGCCACACUGGGACUGAGACACGGCCCAGACUCCUACGGGAGGCAGCAGUGGGGAAUUUUGGACAAUGGGCGAAAGCCUGAUCCAGCAAUGCCGCGUGCAGGAUGAAGGCCUUCGGGUUGUAAACUGCUUUUGUACGGAACGAAACGGUGAGCUCUAAUACAGUUUGCUAAUGACGGUACCGUAAGAGUAAGCACCGGCUAACUACGUGCCAGCCGCCGCAGUAACAC
rnacentral:rRNA from 1 species